UGGCGGCGCGCCUACACAUGCAAGUCGAACGAGAAAGUCCGCAAGGAUGAGUAAAGUGGCGUACGGGUGAGUAACACGUGGAUAACCUGCCCUUUAGUGGGGAAUACCGCUGGGAAACCGGCGACAAUACCGCAUAAGCUCGAGAGAGGAAAGCAGCAAUGCGCUGAAGGAGGGGUCCGCGGCCGAUUAGCUAGUUGGCAGGGUAAAAGCCUACCAAGGCUGUGAUCGGUAGCCGGCCUGAGAGGGCACACGGCCACACUGGCACUGAAACACGGGCCAGACUCCUACGGGAGGCAGCAGUGGGGAAUCUUGCACAAUGGGGGAAACCCUGAUGCAGCGACGCCGCGUGAGCGAUGAAGCCCUUCGGGGUGUAAAGCUCUUUCGGCAGGGACGAUUAUGACGGUACCUGCAGAAGCAGCUGCGGCUAACUACGUGCCAGCAGCCGCGGUAAUACGUAGGCAGCAAGCGUUGUUCGGAGUUACUGGGCGUAAAGGGUGCGUANGCGGCUUCUUAAGUCUGGUGUGAAAUCUCCCGGCUCAAC
rnacentral:rRNA from 1 species